rnacentral:rRNA from 1 species
AGUUGCUAACGCGUGAAGGCGAGCACUCUAGACGAACUGCCGUUGACAAACGGAGGAAGUGGGGAUGACGUCAAAUCAUCAUGCCCCUUAUGUUCUGGGCUACACACGUGCUACAAUGGCCGGUACAGACGGACGCAAAGCCGCGAGGUGGAGCAAAUCCUAAAAAGCCGGUCUCAGUUCGGAUUGCAGGCUGCAAUUCGCCUGCAUGAAGUCGGAAUCGCUAGUAAUCGCAGGUCAGCAUACUGCGGUGAAUACGUUCCCGGGUCUU